rnacentral:tRNA from 1 species
AGUCUUAUAUUCAAGAAUGAUAAUAGAAUGCAAUUCUAUAGGAAUAAUAGUAUUAUUAAGACUU